rnacentral:misc_RNA from 1 species
GAUGAAGAACGUAGCGAAAUGCGAUAAGUAAUGUGAAUUGCAGAAUUCAGUGAAUCAUCGAAUCUUUGAACGCACAUUGCGCCCCCUGGUAUUCCGGGGGGCAUGCCUGUCCGAGCGUCAUUGCAAACCCUCAAGCCCGGCUUGCGUGAUGGGUCGCAUCGUCCCCGAAGGCCCUCCGGGGCGGGUGGGACGGGCCCGAAAGGCAGCGGCGGCGUCGCGGUCAUCCGAUCAGCCCAAGCGUAUGGGGACAUCCGUCACACGCUAGGGGCGCGGACCGACGCCCGCCUGGAACGUCACACUUCUCAAGGUUUGACCUCGGAUCAGGUAGGGAUACCCGCUGAACUUAAGCAUAUCAAUAAGCGGAGGA